GGGUGACCCAUCUUCAGACUGAGCCGAAGGACUUACUAGGUCAGAGGGAUCCCAGAAGCGGACAAGCAUGCCGGCAAAACCAGCCCCGAUAAAGAAGUCGGCCAAGGCCGCCAAGAAGGAGGAGCCGGCGCCCGCGCCCGCGCCCGAGCCCGAACCCGCUCCCGCACCCGAGCCCGCCCCCGCGGAACCGGCCCCCGCCGAACCUGCGCCCGCCGAGGCCGCUCCAGCGGAAGCAGCCCCGGCUGAAGGAGCCCCGGCCGAAGGAGCCCCGGCUGAAGGAGCCCCGGCCGAGGCGCCUCCCGCCGAAGCCCCACCCGCCGAAGCCCCACCUGCAGAAGCACCACCUGCCGAACCCGCUGCAGAGCCCACCAGCGAGCCCCUCGAGCUCGGCGUUGAGGAUGUCAAUGACACUUCCGUCACUAUCUCAUGGAGACCCCCAGCGACCAUCGGGAACUCUGGUCUGGAUGGAUACACUGUGGAAAUCUGCAAGGAAGGAACUGGCGACUGGAAAGCCGCUAACGAGGAGCUGACUGUGUCCUGCCGUUACGUCAUUAAGAACCAGACCACCGGUGACCGCCUGAACAUCAGGGUGGUGGCCAUGAAUCCCGGCGGCCGCAGCCCUCCUGCUGCUCUGGCCGACGCUGUCCUGGUCAGAGAGGUUGUGGAUCGUCCCAAAAUUCGUCUGCCACGUUUCCUGAGGCAGCGUUUUGUGAAAAAUGUUGGAGAGAAAGUCAACCUUGUUAUUCCCUUCAGUGGAAAACCACAACCUGUUGUGUCAUGGACAAAGGAUGGCCAGCCUCUGGAUACUAAAAAGGUGAACAUCCGCAACAGUGACAAGGACAGCAUCUUCUUCAUCCGUGGCGCCGAGAGAGCCGACUCCGGCGUGUACGAGAUGUGUGUGAAAGUGGACAGCUUUGAGGACAAAGCCCAGUUGACUCUGCAGAUCGUUGAGUUGCCUGGACCUCCAGCCACCGUCAAGAUCGUGGACACCUGGGGUUUCAACGUCGCUCUGGAAUGGACCGAACCCAAGGACAAUGGAAACACAACAAUCACUGGAUACACCAUCCAGAAAGCUGACAAAAAAACAGGGGACUGGUUCACAGUACUGGAGCAUUAUCACAGAAUGAACGCCACUGUUUCAGACCUGAUCAUGGGUAACACUUACAUCUUCAGGGUCUUCACUGAGAACAAGUGUGGAAUCAGUGAAGAAGCCUGCAUGACAAAGGCCUCAGCCACCAUCCAGAAGACAGGCAUUGACUACAAGCCUCCAGAGUACAAGGAACAUGACUUCAGCGAGGCACCCAAAUUCACCACCUCCCUGGCAGACCGCAGCACUACUGUUGGUUAUAACACCAAGCUGCUUUGCUCCGUUAGGGGAUUCCCUAAGCCCAAGAUCGAGUGGAUGAAGAAUCAGAUGAUUAUUGGUGACGACCCCAAGUUCAGGCAAAUCAACAACCAGGGCAUCUGCUCCCUAGAGAUCCGCAAGCCUGGUAACUUUGACGGUGGAGUGUACAGCUGCAGGGCCAGGAACGAGCACGGAGAGGCCUUGAUUAGCUGCAAACUGGAGGUCAAACAGCCUGUGAUUGCUGAUGCUGAUAAGAAAUAAGUUCAAGCCCCACAUUCAUACAGUCCCAAAUAAGGAACAGAAAAAUGUGGGAUCCCUCUCAAAAGGAUUGUGAAGACGUCUUUUGCUGAUGAGAAGAAGAAAAAAAAACAUGUACAUAUGAAAUAAAAAAAAUAUAUAAAAAUAGACAUUUUCCUCCUUUUUCAUAAUUUAAUGCCUGGCCUCACAAUUAUGAAAAAGCACAUAUAUUUAUUAUAUGGACAUUUACAUCAGCAGCUGCCUGUGACAUGUCUAUUCUUGUCUGUGUACUCGUCCCUGAGUCCAGUGAUGUGACUCGGAUCAAGUCCCAUCCGGACCAACAGGAGUGUUUGUUCAAUUAAACCAUAGCCUUUCACCCACA